AUUGAACGCUGGCGGCAGGCCUAACACAUGCAAGUCGAGCGAGCGGCGCACGGGUGAGUAAUGUAUGGUGGCUGCCCCAUAGAGUGGGAUAACUCCUGGAAACGGUGGCUAAUAUCGCAUCCUGUCUGAUCACCCCUAUGGGAUUAGCUAGUAGGUAAGGUAAUGGCUUACCUAGGCGACGCUCCCUAGCUGGUCUGAGAGGAUGAUCAGCCACACUGGGACUGAGACACGGCCCAGACUCCUACGGAGGCAGCAGUGGGGAAUAUUGCACAAUGGGCGCAAGCCUGAUGCAGCCAUGCCGCGUGUAUGAAGAAGGCCCUAGGGUUGUAAAGUACUUUCAGUCGGGAGGCGUUACCGACAGAAGAAGCACCGGCUAACUCCGUGCCAGCAGCCGCGGUAAUAC
rnacentral:rRNA from 1 species